GAUGAACGCUGGCGGCGUGCCUAAUACAUGCAAGUAGAACGCUGAAGGAGGAGCUUGCUCUUCUGGAUGAGUUGCGAACGGGUGAGUAACGCGUAGGUAACCUGCCUGGUAGCGGGGGAUAACUAUUGGAAACGAUAGCUAAUACCGCAUGACAACAGUUAUUGCAUGAUAACUGUUUAAAAGGGGCAACUGCUCCACUACCAGAUGGACCUGCGUUGUAUUAGCUAGUUGGUGAGGUAACGGCUCACCAAGGCGACGAUACAUAGCCGACCUGAGAGGGUGGUCGGCCACACUGGGACUGGGACACGGCCCAGACUCCUACGGGAGGGAGCAGUAGGGAAUCCUCGGCAAUGGACGGAAGGCUGGACGAGCAAAGCCGCGUGAGUGAAGAAGGGUUUCGGAUCGUAAAGAUCUGUUGUAAGAGAAGAACGAGUGUGAGAGUGGAAAGUUCACACUGUGACGGUAUCUUACCAGAAAGGGACGGCUAACUACGUG
rnacentral:rRNA from 1 species